rnacentral:RNase_P_RNA from 1 species
AGAGCAGGGCAAAUGGCCGCUCUUCUAUGUCUCACAUGGGAGGGAGGAAAGUCCGGGCUCCGCAGGGCAGGGUGCUGGGUAACGCCCAGUCCCGGUGACGGGAAGGAAAGUGCCACAGAAAACAUACCGCCCUUUCAGAGGUUGGUUUCUGAUUGGGUAAGGGUGAAAAGGUGAGGUAAGAGCUCACCGCUCCGUUGGUGACAGCGGAGGCUUGGCAAACCCCGCCCGGAGCAAGACCAAAUAAGGGGACGCUCGAGGGCGGCCCGUCCGAGUCCCCGGGUAGGUCGCUUGACCUCAAUAGCAAUAUUGAGGCUAGAUGAAUGGCCAUUGUCCCGUAGAGGGUAACCGAUACGGGAGACAGAACCCGGCUUAUGACCUGCUCUAACA